rnacentral:lncRNA from 1 species
GGUAGCUUGAACUGUGAACACACAAAAUUCUAAAUUUACAAAUAAAUCAAAUUUCCGGUUUUUUCGUUUUGGAUUAAUUUUAAGCAUAAAGUGUAAAGUUAAGUUAAGCAUAAAGUGUACGUUUUUUUAUCAAAAUUUCUAGCAAAAAAAAAAAAGUGUGUGACUAAUUUGUGUGUCUUUUCAAUAGUUUCGUCAGUUACUGUGUUUCCUUCAAUCCCGUGGCAUGGAACAACAGAUUACGCGACAAUUACACGGCACACAAAAAAAAGUAUGUAAUAAAUACAUGUACAUAUGUUGAGAUAAGUUAAUCAAGUUUGAUUAUAGCUGGUGGUUUGUAGCUUUGUUUUAAGAAAGUCAUUAAACUGAAACUUCGUUGUACACACACACACACACUAAGUCAUGCUCAUGGAUGAGGACCAUCUGCCACACCUUGUAAAAGCGAUCAACACUGGACACCCGCAGACCGCAAUGGUCCAUCAACACACAUCUAUUUUUGGCAUCAUCGAAAGUUGCUUACGUUAUCAGCACUAGACACCGGGAAGCAGCAGCACAACAGACAUCAAGAUUAGAAUCAUGUAAAUAACACUCGGAUAUUGAGUUGCAGUCUCAGAGGAUACAUCAACGGAUUAUUCCAGACACGAAUUACACAACGGGGAAGGAAGGUUGUUCGACUUCCCCUCACACAACACAAUUGGUAAUUAUUUAAUUUCGUUGUGGAAUUUACAAAUAAUUUUCUGCAAUUUAUAUUUUAGGAUACAACCUUCGACGACCUGGACACGGCUUUGACUUGAAGUUUGGGAUGUGUGGAGUAGGCCUACUGGGG